CUGUGAAAUUUUUCAAAAACUGUAAUAGAAGUUUCUUGACAUUACAAAGAUUGGACUCAAAUAUUAUUUUUGGAGCGCGUCAAUUGAACAACAAAAUUCGACUCAAUUUUGACUAUACGGAUUACGGAUUAUUUUUUGUUGGAAAUUUUUUUUUUGAAGUACAUUCAUCAUGGGCAAUGCAUUUUUUAACUUCCUAAAGGAGUUUCGAAACUACAAUAAGCAUCUUAAACCAGUGGAGAGUGCGAAACAAGCAGGCCAUAUAUGGCGCACAAUGUCAGAUGAGGAGAAAGAGCAGUACGUAGGUGUAGACUAUAAGGCUGUUCGUAACUCAAGUACCUCGGAAUGUGGUACAUGUGGGAAAAAGAAGAAAAAACCCUGUGGGCAGAAGAAAAAACGCAAAAGCUGCCCAAAGAAAAAGAAGCCUAAGUGUAAACCGAAGCGUAACCCCUGUAAAAAGAAGAAGAAGCGCCGCCAAAUUUGUUGCUAACUUAUUUUAAUGUUGACUGGAUAAAAAAUUGGGUGGCGUCACUAGUUUCAUAUUUCCGAUCCAUACUUCUAAGCCACCAAACAGUCUUCUUCAUCUGACUGCAAAAUCAUAAUUAAAUGUAAAAACAAUUUUAAAUAUUAUUCUGCUAAAGUUUGAAAAAAAAUCCAGAUGCCUUCUUAUAAUGCAACUGGAUAAUUACCACCUACACUGAUUCAUUGGUUCUAAUAUGUGAGCGAAAAAGGAUGGUUCCAAUCUCAAAAAUAAAGCAUCCGAAAAAUUUGUUUCAAAAUUCAGCAAAAUUCACAAAAUGUAUUAAAUUCCCCGAAAUAUAAAGAAAUUAUUUAUACUCAAAUUCAAACUAAUUAAAUUAUAUUUUUUAAUCUAUAACUUAUAUUUUCGGCAUAAGUAAAAACAGCAGAUUCCGCAUAUUCAGAAAUAUAAAUAUGUACUCAAGUAUAUCUUAACCUUACUCCAUCUCUUUAACCUAACCUAUGGAUAUUAAUGAAAUUCGUAAAAUGUGUCAACUUCCCCGAAAUAUAAAGGUUACAAAAUGAACACAAUAUAUAUAUGAUAUGCAUGAUUCAUAUUAUUCCAGAAAAUUGUACUCAAAUUCAAAUAUAAUUAAAUUAUAACUUUUAUUUUCGACAUAAAUAAAAACAACAGUUUCCACAAAUUCUGAGAUAUAAACAUGUACUUAAGUAAAUCUUGACCUUACUCCUAACCUAUGGAUAUUGACAAAUGUUUAAAUCAAGAAAAAGCUUCAUCAAAUAAAUUCAG